rnacentral:rRNA from 1 species
GCGACACUGUGUGUUGUUGGGUAGGGGAGCGUUCUGUAAGCCUGUGAAGGUGGCCUGUGAGGGUUGCUGGAGGUAUCAGAAGUGCGAAUGCUGACAUAAGUAACGAUAAAGCGGGUGAAAAGCCCGCUCGCCGGAAGACCAAGGGUUCCUGUCCAACGUUAAUCGGGGCAGGGUGAGUCGACCCCUAAGGCGAGGCCGAAAGGCGUAGUCGAUGGGAAACAGGUUAAUAUUCCUGUACUUGGUGUUACUGCGAAGGGGGGACGGAGAAGGCUAUGUUGGCCGGGCGACGGUUGUCCCGGUUUAAGCGUGUAGGCUGUUUUUCCAGGCAAAUCCGGAAAAUCAAGGCUGAGGCGUGAUGACGAGGCACUAAGGUGCUGAAGUAACAAAUGCCCUGCUUCCAGGAAAAGCCUCUAAGCAUCAGGUAACAUCAAAUCGUACCCCAAACCGACACAGGUGGUCAGGUAGAGAAUACCAAGGCGCUUGAGAGAACUCGGGUGAAGGAACUAGGCAAAAUGGUGCCGUAACUUCGGGAGAAGGCACGCUGAUAUGUAGGUGAAGUGAUUUACUCAUGGAGCUGAAAUCAGUCGAAGAUACCAGCUGGCUGCAACUGUUUAUUAAAAACACAGCACUGUGCAAACACGAAAGUGGACGUAUACGGUGUGACGCCUGCCCGGUGCCGGAAGGUUAAUUGAUGGGGUUAGCGGUAACGCGAAGCUCUUGAUCGAAGCCCCGGUAAACGGCGGCCGUAACUAUAACGGUCCUAAGGUAGCGAAAUUCCUUGUCGGGUAAGUUCCGACCUGCACGAAUGGCGUAAUGAUGGCCAGGCUGUCUCCACCCGAGACUCAGUGAAAUUGAACUCGCUGUGAAGAUGCAGUGUACCCGCGGCAAGACGGAAAGACCCCGUGAACCUUUACUAUAGCUUGACACUGAACAUUGAGCCUUGAUGUGUAGGAUAGGUGGGAGGCUUUGAAGUGUGGACGCCAGUCUGCAUGGAGCCGACCUUGAAAUACCACCCUUUAAUGUUUGAUGUUCUAACGUGGGCCCCUUAUCGGGGUUGCGGACAGUGUCUGGUGGGUAGUUUGACUGGGGCGGUCUCCUCCUAAAGAGUAACGGAGGAGCACGAAGGUUGGCUAAUCCUGGUCGGACAUCAGGAGGUUAGUGCAAUGGCAUAAGCCAGCUUGACUGCGAGCGUGACGGCGCGAGCAGGUGCGAAAGCAGGUCAUAGUGAUCCGGUGGUUCUGAAUGGAAGGGCCAUCGCUCAACGGAUAAAAGGUACUCCGGGGAUAACAGGCUGAUACCGCCCAAGAGUUCAUAUCGACGGCGGUGUUUGGCACCUCGAUGUCGGCUCAUCACAUCCUGGGGCUGAAGUAGGUCCCAAGGGUAUGGCUGUUCGCCAUUUAAAGUGGUACGCGAGCUGGGUUUAGAACGUCGUGAGACAGUUCGGUCCCUAUCUGCCGUGGGCGCUGGAGAACUGAGGGGGGCUGCUCCUAGUACGAGAGGACCGGAGUGGACGCAUCACUGGUGUUCGGGUUGUCAUGCCAAUGGCACUGCCCGGUAGCUAAAUGCGGAAGAGAUAAGUGCUGAAAGCAUCUAAGCACGAAACUUGCCCCGAGAUGAGUUCUCCCUGAGACUUUAAGUCUCCUGAAGGAACGUUGAAGACGACGACGUUGAUAGGCCGGGUGUGUAAGCGCAGCGAUGCGUUGAGCUAACCGGUACUAAUGAACCGUGAGGCUUAACCUU